rnacentral:tRNA from 1 species
GAGGUUAUAGCUCAGUGAUAGAGUAUGUGCUUACCACGCACGAGGUCAUAGGUACAAUCCCCAGUACCUCU